rnacentral:misc_RNA from 1 species
GAUGAAGAACGUAGCGAAAUGCGAUAAGUAAUGUGAAUUGCAGAAUUCAGUGAAUCAUCGAAUCUUUGAACGCACAUUGCGCCCCUCGGCACUCCGGGGGGCAUGCCUGUCCGAGCGUCAUUGCACCCCUCGAGCCCCCCGUGGCUUGGUCGUGAGCCGCGCCCGCGCCAGCCCCGUCCCCCCCCGUGCAGCGGGGGGCAGGGGCGCCGGCGGGCUCGAAACGCAGUGGCGGCCCCCGGGCGACUUCCAGCGCGAUGACAUGUUUCGCUGCCGAAGCCUUCGCCCCGGGCGCCCGCCAGGCAACCCCCGUGCUUCUUACGCGGUUGACCUCGGAUCAGGCAGGGAUACCCGCUGAACUUAAGCAUAUCAAUAAGCGGAGGA